rnacentral:rRNA from 1 species
UACCAGCACCCCGAGUGGUCGGGACGUUUAUUGGGCCUAAAGCAUCCGUAGCCGGUUCUGCAAGUCCUCCGUUAAAUCCAGCUGCUCAACAGAUGGGCCGCGGAGGAUACUACAGAGCUAGGAGGCAGGAGAGGCAGCGGUACUCGAUGGGUAGGGGUAAAAUCCGUUGAUCCAUUGAAGACCACCAGUGGCGAAGGCGGCUUGCCAGAACGCGCUCGACGGUGAGGGAUGAAAGCUGGGGGAGCAAACCGG